GUCAAUCACCCCGGCCUAAAGGCCGAGGCUUGUGGGGUAGCAAUCCGCAAGUCUGAGGUUGACCAGACCAUCCGUCGCAAGAUGCACCGUUGUGCAGGAGACAGCAGACCCACCGCCAGAUGCUUCCUGAGUCUGGCGCUCUGGAAGUCGCAGCAGCAGACAAGCCCCGGGUAGGCACGAAACGGGCUGCGACCGGCAGGUUUUCUGGCCCCCUGCUGCACAACAUGGUCGAGGGGAGCGGCGCAGCAAGGCG
rnacentral:sRNA from 1 species